GACAGCAUGGCCGAGUGGUUAAGGCGGUAGACUUGAAAUCUACUAUCUUCGGAUUCGUGAGUUCAAACCUCACUGCUGUCG